rnacentral:lncRNA from 1 species
AUAACCUUCUUGUAAUCAUCUGUCUGUCUUAUCAUUGUCAAUUUCGAAUCCCCCUCCUUAUCUUGUUUAUUUAUUGAAAUUUUCGACGGAUCGCAAGGAGUAUCCGGAGAGAGAUAGAUUAUCGCUGACAUUUGAAAGAGAACAGCGGACCUUCUUAGUCUACGUUCAGUUCGCCGCGAGGGCGAGUAGCGUGACGUCGAACUGCAGGCAUCUUAUAACGUAACGGCGGCUUGUGAAAGAACGAUUGAUCGUGCCUAGGGUAUAAAUAUGAUGACGCGCUCUAAGUUUGUGUCGCGCAGCACGUGCACGUCCCGCCCACGCGAGCACCACUAUUUCUGGCGUGAGAAAUUCUAUUGGGGCGAAUAAAAGGGUCGGUGCUUACGUCCUCGGCGGACGUCGCAUCGGCGGCGGCGAAGGAAACGCGCUCUCGCUCCGUGGGACUUUCAGGAGUUUCAGGUUCAAGUAUACCGGGUGUAGGACGGGGGAGGGGAGAUUGCAUUCUUGGGAACGCGAAGACCUCAGGGUGUUGUCGCCGCGCCACACCGCGUGGGACACGAAAUACCAGAACGAAAAGGGAACGUCGCGUCGAGCCGUGACGAGCGAGUGCUAAAUUACGCGCCGAGCGAACGAAUGUUCUAAUUCGCCAAGGACAAACGAAGGAGUUUUACAAGGAAGGAAAGGGCUGGAUCAAUUUACUCGAGGGCAAAAGCGUGCCGUAGCUAAAUGCAGCGCAAACAGGCAUUCUUCCCCCUUCUCCACAGCAACAACGGAAUCCGUGUCGAUCUCUUCGGUGGAGCAAGGUGCGCUUUGCAAUUCCGAGCGUUCGCUCGCUCGAUGCGCGACAGGUACGGAACACACUGUCGUUGCGUAUCGCGUCCUCGUUAAAUACCUGCGUUGCAUUCCGACGCUGAGACAGAGAGCAGAGGAAAAAAUGCGAGAAAAAGAGAAGCUGGCGAGAGAGCAGUGGAAAAAACAUUAUUACGAUCGCAGUAAUCGUGGUACCACAAAUGAAGUAUAGUACUCUUUAAAGAGGUUUACGACGCCCCGUAAUUCUUAUUCUUUCGUAAUAUUCUUUCGUGCUCGCGUCCGACCGAUGGAAAAACGUACACGAGGCCAUCUCGCAGCCCGGACUAUUUUCCAUCUACUUUCCCGUAUUAUGCAAGUCCACGCGAGUGAAACAGCGGGAGACGUGGCGGGACGGGCGAUCUCGGCGUGCCGCAAUUUGCGCAAUAAACCGCACCGGUGACGAUGUCAUCGGGCAGCACCAUUCCGCCGUCGUGUAUCGGCAGAACGUAGCCGAUCGCCACCACCACCGUCGUGUACACAUUGCGUGUAGUGGCGUGCACGUGUCGGGAAGGGUGAACGCGUGGUCGCGCGCGUGACUCCGCGCGGCCGAGGCGUGCCCUUCUCUCGAUCACGUGGAAUGUAACGCGGUCCGAACGUUCUCCCCCUCACCUCCCCCUCAGCCCCCACCUACCUGCUCCUGCUCGCUCCGUGCUCCGUAUAGUAUAGAGCGCUCUUCUCGCGGUGCACCGUCACGAUUCUCAUGAUUGCCUUCCUUUCCUCCCGCAGUUUCCAACGACCUGCAGCGGUGGACCGCAACAACGAAAGACUAGGACAUGGUUGCGGAAAAACUGAAACCUGAUCGGCAUUAAUGACGUUAACUUCUUCCCAAUGAGUACCUUUCCUUUUGUUGUACUUUAGUUCUAGAGAUACACGAUGGACAAAGUAAUUUUUAUAUAAAAAAGAAAUAUGAUUUUAUAUUAGUACCUGCACCUUGUAUAAUUAAAUACACUAUAGUUGACUAGCACAAAUGAAAGACAAUGUAUUCUGAAAAAA